GGAGCUCUGAGCAGAGGCCACGGCUGCCACCAGCUAUGUGUUUGCGCUUGGUGGGAAGGAUGCAGCAGCUGCUCCGAGCCAGGUCAUUUCAAUAACAACAGGAGACCUCGGUUCCAGAUGAAUGGCAUCUCUCAGGCUGAAGAGCUUCUGCAGACUCUCCACUUUCAUACUGAUUAGAAGUGCUUGAGAAACAUCAUAGCAGUGGUGAUGAGCACUGUCUGGGCCCUCGCUCUGCGUUCUCUGCCAUUCACGAAUCCCUGACAAGCCUGAGGAAUGGAUUUAGAAGCCUACCUUUCAGCUAGCUUACUGCCAGACGGAGACAUCCAGCACACAGACAUGACCAGAUAGCUACCCAAAUGAAUACAGCAAGACAUCCCAUCAACUUGUACGUUAAGGCUAAGCUUUGUCUGGAAGGUGACGAUGAUGAUGAAGAUGACAAUGAUAAUGAUGACAAUGGUGGCAGCGUGGUAACAUGGUCACAAUUAUCCAACCCUUGAAGAGCCCGCGUCAACACAGCCGAGAGAUUUUGACAGCGGAAAAAGCUUGCCUGGCCUGGGAUGGCAGUGUUUUCGUUUAGAAUGGUCUGGGAUAGACAGCUAGCACGAAGCUUUGUUCCGGGCAGGACCAGUUCAGAGUCUAGAAAUGUGCGCCUUCCUGUCUUGGCCGUAUUUCUGUGGUGCCGCCAGGAGCAGUGUAAAAGAAGAACCCAUUCUAAGUAAAGAAAGAGCUUGCCGCAUUUGGAAGGCAAAGAGGGAGCAGGCAGAAGAGCCGUCGGGGCGUGCAGCGUGCUGGAGCCCCGGGGCUUUGAAAUCCUUUUCUGUGUUGUCACUUGAAUGUCGAACACGUUAUUCUCGGUGGACACUAAAAAGAAGUACAGGUACCGCGGGCUCCAGGGGGAUUCGUUAUUCAAGGCACAAAAUUUUCUACUCUGGCCUGCAACACAUUAUAAUUCAAAUGAGCCGAGCACAAUAGAGGGAAAAAUAUGCAAGCAGAUUUCUCCGUGUCGUGUUUUUUUUUCCCUCCUCUCUGAAGCCCUGUAAUUACAGCAGGCAGGUGGAGCAUCUGGGGUGUGGGGGAGUCAGUCCACUGUAUUUUUACCUUCCUAGGAACGCGACUUGCCUUACCACAUCAAUAUAUUUUAUUUUUAAUUAAGUGCUUAUUGCAAAAUCUGAGUCCUUGAACGGAGGUCUGAUUUACCGACCUUCCCUCUCCUCCCCUCCCCUGCCUCUCUCGCUGCUAUUACUAUUUCAGUUUUCUUUCUAAAAUCUUUCAUCUUUUCCUGAAUGGGUUCUGGUCUUCGGCAGCGGCAGUGGUUUGGGCGCGGGACCUUCACCUCGGUUCACCGAGUCAGGAGUCAGUUUCCCCGGCUCCUUUCGUUGAUCAUCUUCUCAAUGGCGGCGGGGACCCUGUCUCCUCCCCAUCCAAGUGCCAGGCGGCCCUGCGGUGUGCCCGGACACUGGGCUCAGUGCACCUCCUGCCCACGGCGUGGGCAGUGGAAACUCCGGGCGCAGCCUCAGGCCUCGCCCUGCCGGACCGGGUCCCCAAAACGCCAAGGUUUUGCGGGCUCAUGAGCAGGACCCCAGUCCUUCUCGGAGGUGAUGGGAUCCGAGGUUCGAGAUCCUAGGCUGAUCAAAAGGAGAUGUGGGGCUGCAAAGAAGGCCCCUCGAGUAGCAGAGGAAACGGCCCAGGGGCCCCAGGGUCAGGACUGCGGGCAGGGCGGGGAUUCCCUUCCUGAGGAUUCUCCGUUUAGAUGAGACCCGGUGCCCUGGGGUGGAGGUGGGGCUGAGGGUGGAGGACAGGUCUCCACUGCAUCUCUGAGAACCCGCACCGAGGUACUACGAAAAGCCCGAUUUCUGGAGACCGUAUCUCCUGCCCAUGUCAGAGAAUAAACAACUGUAAACGGGUUUACAGAAAUCUGUGGGACCCUGCCGGAGCCUGACGACUUCUGUGUUGCCACCUCGCAGACCUCCAUUACCUGCUUUGAUGGUUCCUAGGGUUUGGCCCAGGACCAGGAGUGUGUGUGGGAGGGGUCUAGGGACAGCAGCAGAUGCGGAUGGGUCAAACUUUGCAGAGAAAAGCGACCACUAUGAAUCACUAUUGAAGCUCACCCAGGACAGGCGACUUCAGAGGGGUGUUAAAGACAGAUUAAAAGGAGAGAGAGAGAACCCAACUCUGGAAUACAGAUCCUGUCUUUAUUUGUGCCUCUGAUUUCCUGGCUACCCUUGUCAGGGCAUGCACCUGUCUGGAUUCCUGAUACAGAGUAGAGUCCCGGGUUCUUGUAAAUAAAAUGAGGACAGAGAAGGGGUUAAGGCUGGGUUGACUGCUGGAAUUGAUAAAUCUUCUUGGGACCUGUGGAUGCCCACCACAAAAAUAGUAUCCCUUGGAAGCUGUUGGGAGGUACUUCUGAGGUGUGGGUCAAGGUCAUGACUAGCCAAAUCCCCAUCAUCCUAUGCUAGGCCACUCAGAAGAAGAAGGGCUGGCGAUCCACCAUGCUGAUGGCUAAGAUUCCAUUUUGUUUCUUAUUUUUAAAAAAAGUACAUCUUUAUCAUAGAAGUAAUGAAAAAGCGCAAAUACUGAAAAGUAAGCACACUCAUUACCUAGAGAUAAGUCUUCCGUGUACACGGUGGUACAAGCAUGGCUAUUUUGUAGAAUAACUGGUUUUUCUUCUUCCAAACAAUGUGUUGUGGAUAUCUUUCUACUCAAGCAUCCUUUCAGUGAUUACUGGUCAAUGGGUGUAGGGCCUCCUUGAUGAUUAAGCCGCACUUCUGAUGCCAGGUUCUAGUGUGCUAUUUUUAGCCAUCCCUUUCUUGGGUCUUUUAGGACUGUGACACUUUUUAAUUUCUAAAGCCUCUGUCCACAACAUUUCAGGGUCAUCCCCCCUGCUGUGUCACCAUGCAGGUCCUUAAUUAUUUUCUUAAGAUGUAUUCCUCAACAUGCCUGGGUCAACUGUUCUGCAUUUUUAAAAAAAGUUUUGCAACAUUUUAUCAAAUCAACCUUUAGAGAGGUUAUGUCAAUGUACACGCCCACCUGCUGAGAAUGCAGAAGUGUCCUCAUCAACUACAUACAAUACAAUUUACAUACAUAGUAUGUAUAUAUAGUCUUUAUUCUUUUGCCUACUUUAUUUUUAAUUGGAAUAUUCAUCUUUUUCUUACUAGUUUGUAAGAACAUUUUUUACAUUCAAUCUAUUUUCCCUAUAUUCUGCAAUUUAAUGCAAGUUGCCAAUUCACCACCAACCCCAUACCGGGGACUGAACCCAGGACCUGACACAAGCUAGGCAACUGCUCUACCACUGUGACAUAUCUCAGUCUGCUGAUUACAUUUAUGUUUAAAUUGGCAGAGCCCAGAUUCUUAAUACUUUAGUUUAUGGUUUCUGCUUUUGAUGUUAUUUUGUAAAGGCCUUUUCCACUUUGGAAUUUCCCAACUAUCUACUUGUAUUUUCUCCUAGUGAUUCUAUUUUAUUUAAAAAUAUUUCAUAUUAAAUUUGUGGGUUUUUUAAAAAAUGGAAUCUAAUUUUAUUUUCCAAUCUUUGUUACUGUUUCUGAAUAAUUUUUUAUUAGAUAUUUUCUUUAUUUGCAUUUCAAAUGUUAUCCCCUUUCCUAGUUUCCCCUCCGAAAAUCCCCUAUUCCCUCCCCCUGCUCCCCAGUUUCUGAAUAACUUUGAUCAUGCCAUAUACUAUAACUGGUUCCCAAACAAGUAUAGCCAGGAGGGAAGACCCUGUCUCCAAGAAACGCUGAGAGUAGAGAUGAGGGCUUGACCCCAUGUCUGGAGGUACACACAACAGUAUCUAGACUUUGUCACUUUCCAUAUUAUUUAAACCCUGGUUUUGCAUUUGUGCAAUGAACAUAAUAUUAGGAACUAUCUCCCCAAAUGGUGGUGAAGAUCAAAUUGUAACAUGCACAUGAAACACGUGUGCAUGGCUCAACGGGACUAACAAUGAGUAGGAAUAGGUUAGGAAGAAGGACUGUAGCAAUUGUGUGACAUGGUAAUGUUAAAAAGAAAUACAUCGUCACCAUCUAUAGAUACAACUAUACUUACACCGUGGGUACAUUGCUGUAUAGUUGCAGAGAGCUCAUCCAAGUCAUUCGGAGGGUUCCCUGAAAGCUGGCUUGUACCCCUAAAGCCUGGCUCUGCUGGAGCCUGGACUGCACUGAACGCCCACAUUUCAGGGGAGCCUAGUGCUGGUUCUGUUCACAGACUUACUUCCAAGGCCUUCUGCCUGACCUGCCCAUGUUGAAGGGAAUCAGAAGAACAACCUGACACUUGGAGAGCUCACGGGACAGAGAGCACUUGGAGUCUGUGCUCAGAGCGAGCAGCCCUCUCUCCCCCUUCCUGGCUCACCCCCAAGCUGAGGAUGGCUGCAGAGAAAUAGUCACUGGCCGUGAGCCAGGGACACCAGUCAGCUUAACCAAAGAAAUCAAUGGACACUGUGUCUGCAAAUGAGGAAAGUGACGUGGUAAGGAGGCGUAUGCCUUGUCCAGAAUCACAAAUACCCGGGGUGGCAAAAGCAAAAGGAGAAGCGGCCUCAAAAGGGGCCAUUUCCCAUGUCAGGCAGGCCCGGGUUCACAAAGGAACGGGCACGCUGCUCUUGAGCCCUGGGCGGUGGAGGCCCAACAUAUUUUUAUGAGGCACAGACAAUGAGUAGCCAUUCAAAAGGCUGAUGUUGCCUCUGCUUAGAAAAGGGCAAAUAUUUUAGGAAUCCCUUGUUACUAGGCAAAUGCCUGAUGACUGUUUGGAGGACUGGAACUCAGCUGCAUGCACAGUACCUUGGGCUUUGCCCUUUGAUUCAGAGUUCUGCUUCCGCCAAGGAGUGGCUCUCUAGUUUGGCUGCACCCUGGAACAAGCUGUGAAGCUCUUAAGCGCAAAGAUGCCAGGUUUCACUUCCAGAAAGAUCGAUUAAAUUAGGGCAUAGAAUGCUAUUGCUAAAAAGUUUUAUCCUAGCCAAACAUUUCUCAAAUUUUAAAGAAUUUUCUGAAAAGUUUGUUAAAAUGUUCCAGACUCUGGGCCUGGACUUUGACACUCCAGUCAAUCUCCUAUAGGAUGUUAUGUUCCUGUGACCUGAGGGACGGGAUAGCUCAAUGACCAUAGUGCUUGUUUGUUUUUGUUUUGUACAGAUUAGAGCAUUACUUAACCAGACAGUUGUCCUAGAGCUGAAAUUAAGCAGAGAGGGAAUCUAUGAUAGUUGUCCCCAGCCUGGAGGCCCAGCACACUGAUGAGAGCCCUUAACAUUCUGGCAAAGUCCCCUCAUCACCCUGGAGGAGACCUUACAUCUUCUUGGACUAGAGGAGUCAUGUGCUUGGGCUUAUGUCUCCGUUGUUAGGGUUGUUUGCUCUGUCCCCCAUGGGGACAUGGGGAUGGGGACUAUAUGUCAAGAGUAACAGCACAGACCCUGGGAGAGUGAAAAGCAAGGGACGUUAGAGGCCUUCCACCUAAGGAAGAAUGUGAACAUAAACAGCAAAGAUCUAAGGCCAGUGCACUCUGUAAUCUUACAGGAACUGCUUCUGCUAAUAUUGGUCAUCAACUUGACAGGCUCUGAAACCAUCGAUGAGAGAUUUCUUAUUCUCAUGGUCACCAGCAAAACUGUCACGAGAGGAGGAAUAUCAAUUGAUCCUAACACAUGCCUGGAAUUCAAAUGCGGACUUUCUUCCUUUGGACAUGCUACAUCAAACUGGCUGCUUUCUCAAAGAGAAUGCUUCUAGACUUUAAAGAAUGGAAAAGACCCUUUUCCCGAUUGCCAGAAAACGGUGCACUGGAGACUUGAUAUUCUAGGUAACAAUGGAAAAGGAUACAAUGUAUACCUCGCUGGGUCAAGUCUUGCUAUCUGCAAGCUAAGGAAGACCACAGGGCAUUGCCCAGAGGGUUGGCCAAGCCUGUGGUUAGAAGACCUAAUGGCAUCCACAGGAAAAGAUGGAGGGAGAAGAGGGAGUGGAGUGUGGUUUAUCCUUCCUGAUCCUGGGCGCAUUUUGCACACCAGACCAUCCCCAUCUGCAAUGUUUUGUGUUUGCUUUUAUUACUUCCUUCAACCAGACUGCUCCAGGACCAAGGCAACCUGCACCUGGACCACCUGAAGCAUCCCUGACCAUCCUGAAACAUUCUAGUCACUCUCAGAAUUCAUCUCCCUCCACCAGGUGGAUUUCUUAUUCAUUGAACAUGCUAUGCUGGCGGCGGCAGCGGUGGCGGCGGAGGGGGGGGGGCAUGGCAUUUAAGGGUCUCUCCAUUGUAAUGCUCCAGGGUCAAGCUAGACACUGUGGCAGCCCUGCCUGGCUUUACCACUUUGACAUAAGCUUCUCUGGGCAGCUUAAAUUCAGCACAGGAUAUAGUUGGGGCAGGCAAGACUAGCGUUCUGGAUAGGAUUCCUGUUACGGAUACAACACAUUCAAUAACUUAAAAUAACGCAGGUUUAUUAUCAAAAGUUCUGGAAGUCAGAUGUCCACACUGGGCAGGAGUGCCAGGUGUCUUCUGGAGGCCCCACGGGAGCGUCUGCUUCUUGCCCUUGUGGUCCUGUGUCUCUUCAGUAUCUGUUCUCGUUGCCAUGUCUCUUCCGUUCUGAUUCUGACUUCCUUCAUAGCUUCCCUAAGAAUCCCCGUGUUUCUUUCGGGCCCACCAACAUACCCGAGGUCACUGCUCUACUUCCAUAUCUUGAAUCCCCUCUGAGAAGCCCCCUUUGCCAUCUGAGACCAAACACUGAGAUCUUUGGAACAGGAGAAGCAUCUUUGUGUCUAUUGUGACUCCUUGCAUCUGUUUACACAGCUGUAUAUAAAAAAAUAUGCCUCUCUUCCCCGAGGGACUAUGGAAGGAUUUAAUGUGGUAAUUUAUACGUAUAACUUCCCUAUUCUGUGUCUGGCACAGUGGAGGUAUUUUAUUCUGGUCAGUAGCUUUGUAAGCCAGAAACGAAGAACUGUGGCUUCUCCUUUCUGACCCUUGAGCUUCUUCUAGCUAUUGCUGAGUCCCAAGUAGGAAAUCAAUAAAUGUAAUAAAUAAUUAUUUUGAUCGAU